UACGUAGGGGGCAAGCGUUGUCCGGAAUUAUUGGGCGUAAAGAGCGUGUAGGCGGUCCGGUAAGUCAGCUGUGAAAGUCAAGGGCUCAACCCUUGAAUGCCGGUUGAUACUGUCGGGCUAGAGUCCGGAAGAGGCGAGUGGAAUUCCCGGUGUAGCGGUGAAAUGCGCAGAUAUCAGGAGGAACACCAAUGGCGAAGGCAGCUCGCUGGGACGGUACUGACGCUGAGGCGCGAAAGCGUGGGGAGCAAACAGG
rnacentral:rRNA from 1 species